rnacentral:lncRNA from 1 species
ACAUAUUUUUGAAGUAGCUGUAGUUAUAGCGAACUACAGAAAUUUUGUAGUCAACCCACGUACCCUUGUUAUUUUGUAGUUUAAACAGUUAGCUAAGCAGUUAGCAAAGCAGGGGGACAGUUACCUGUGACUAUCAGCUCAUAUUGAACAUCAGCUUCUUCUAACAUUGGUUUGACUUUCUUUUUAAACAAGUUCAUAGCAGACCCCUUGCCACCAAAUGGGUUGAUGAAAAUGAGAAACUGCUGUCUCGGUGGAUUAUCU